rnacentral:misc_RNA from 1 species
AACGCACAUUGCGCCCGCCAGUAUUCUGGCGGGCAUGCCUGUUCGAGCGUCAUUUCAACCAUCAAGCCCCGGGCUUGUGUUGGGGACCUGCGGCUGCCGCAGGCCCUGAAAACCAGUGGCGGGCUCGCUAGUCACUCCGAGCGUAGUAGUUUACACCUCGCUCAGGGCGUGCUGCGGGUUCCGGCCGUUAAAAGCCUCUAUACCCAAGGUUGACCUCGGAUCAGGUAGGAAGACCCGCUGAACUUAA